ACGAACGCUGGCGGCGUGCUUAACACAUGCAAGUCGAACGAUUAAAGCUCACUUCGGUGAGUGUAUAGAGUGGCGAACGGGUGAGUAACACGUGGGAAACCUGCCCCUUUCUUCGGGAUAACUUCGGGAAACCGUUGCUAAUACCGGAUACUCCGGGAUGGUCGCAUGGCCGACCCGGGAAAGCUUUAUGUGGAAAGGGAUGGUCCCGCGGCCCAUUAGCUUGUUGGUGGGGUAAUGGCCUACCAAGGCGAUGAUGGGUAGCCG
rnacentral:rRNA from 1 species